UCAAGCUACAAAGGGCGUACGGUGGAUGCCUAGGCGAUAAGAGGCGAUGAAGGACGUGGACAGCUGCGAUAAGCUUCGGGGAGCUGCUAACAAGCUUUGAUCCGGAGAUUUCCGAAUGGGACAACCCGCGCAGGGAAACCUGCCAGCGUCUGGUGAAUACAUAGCCAGCCGUGGCCAACCCAGGGAACUGAAACAUCUAAGUACCUGGAGGAAAAGAAAUCAAUUGAGAUUCCCCUAGUAGUGGCGAGCGAACGGGGAACAGCCUAAACCGGCGACGCAAGUCGACCGGGGUCGUGGGGCUCACAACAUGUGACCACAACGGUUAGAAGAACGGUAUGGAAAGGCCGGCCAUAGAGGGUGACAGCCCCGUAUUCGAAAGCUGAAGUGGCGCUAGUGAGUACCCGAGUACCACAGGACACGUGUAAUCCGGUGGGAAUCUGGGGAGACCAUUCUCCAAGGCUAAAUACUACUUAUCGACCGAUAGUGAACGAGUACCGCGAGGGAAAGGUGAAAAGUACCCCGGUUAGGGGAGUGAAAUAGUACCUGAAACCGUACGUCUACAAGCAGUGGAAGCACUAUGAUUCAUGUGCGACCGCGUACCUUUUGCAUCAUGAGCCUGUGAGUUACGGGGUGUGGCAAGGUUAAGCCGUUAGGUGGAGCCGUAGCGAAAGCGAGUCUUAACAGGGCGAGCAGUCGCAUUCCGUAGACCCGAAACCCGUGCGAUCUACCCAUGUCCAGGUUGAAGGGUGAGUAACAUCACCUGGAGGACCGAACCCACUUCUGUUGAAAAAGGAGGGGAUGAGGUGUGGGUAGGAGUGAAAGGCUAAUCAAGCCGGGAGAUAGCUGGUUCUCGCCGAAAUAUAUUGAGGUAUAGCCUCGGAUGAAUUGCGCAGGAGGUAGAGCACUGAUUGGGCUAGGGGUCUUACCAGAUUACCAAACCCAUUCAAACUCCGAAUGCCUGUGACAACUGUCCGGGAGUCAGGCAGCGGGAGAUAAGUUUCGUUGCCGAGAGGGAAAGAGCCCAGACCGUCAGCUAAGGCCCCCAAAUCUAAACUAAGUGUAAAAGGAUGUGGGAACGCUUAGACAACCAGGAGGUUGGCUUAGAAGCAGCCAUCCUUUAAAGAAAGCGUAAUAGCUCACUGGUCAAGCGGUCCUGCGCCGAAAAUUCAACGGGGCUAAGUUUAGUGCCGAAGCUACGGAUUGUUUUUGACAAUGGUAGGCGAGCGUCGUGAUGGAGAUACGCGGUAGACGGUAACGACUACUAUCGGCCAUCACGAGUGAAUAUGCAGGCAUGAGUAGCGAUAAUCAGGGUGAGAAACCCUGACGCCGUAAGCCCAAGGUUUCCUGGGGAAGGAUAAUCCUCCCACGGGUUAGUCGAUACCUAAGCUCAGGCCGAAAGGCGUAGGCGAUGGAAAGCAGGUCAAUAUUCCUGCACCACUAGGGAAGACGUUGAAGCGAGCAGGGACGGAGAAGGGUAGCUGAGCACGGUGCAUGGUUUCGUGUUCAAGCCCGUAGGCUGAGCCAUUAGGACCCAAUAGGGACAAACGGUGGCUCAAGGCCGAGAGGUGAUGAGGUCGUCUCUUUGAGACGGAUACUCAGUGAUCCCAUACUUCCAAGAAAAGCUGCGCGCGGAGUCCCUCUAGUGAUCGUACUGCAAACCGACUCAGGUGGGCGGGGUGAAUAUCCCAAGGCGCGUGAGAGAACUCUGGUUAAGGAACUCGGCAAAUUUGCACCGUAACUUCGGGAGAAGGUGUGCCCCUACUGGUGAUGAGCUUGCGCUCUGAGCUGGAGGGGGUCGCAGUGAAAUGGCGGUUGUGACUGUUUACUAAAAACACAGGACUCUGCGAACUCGCAAGAGGACGUAUAGGGUCUGAUGCCUGCCCGGUGCUGGAAGGUUAAGGGGAUUUGUUAGGGCAACCGAAGCUUUGAACCGAAGCCCCAGUAAACGGCGGCCGUAACUAUAACGGUCCUAAGGUAGCGAAAUUCCUUGUCGGGUAAGUUCCGACCUGCACGAAUGGCAUAACAACAUCCGCACUGUCUCGACCAGAGACUCAGCGAAAUUGCAUCGGGGGUGAAGAUGCCCUCUACCCGCGACAAGACGGAAAGACCCCAUGAACCUUCACUGUAACUUGGCAGUGAGUUUCGGGUUAUUCUGCGUAGGAUAGGUGGGAGGCGUUGAUAUCGGGUUUCCGGACUCGAUGGAGCCAACCUUGAAAUACCACCCUGGAUAACCUGGAAUUCUAACCUACACCCGUGAUCCGGGUGAGGGACACUGUCUGGUGGGCAGUUUGACUGGGGCGGUCACCUCCCAAAACGUAACGGAGGUGCGCGAAGGUCCCCUCAGGCUGAUUGGAAACCAGCCGUAGAGUGUAAACGCAGAAGGGGGCUUUACUGUAAGACCGACAGGUCGAGCAGUUGCGAAAGCAGGCGUUAGUGAUCCGGUGGUACCGCAUGGAAGGGCCAUCGCUCAACGGAUAAAAGGUACUCUGGGGAUAACAGGCUGAUCGUGCCUGAGAGUUCACAUCGGCGGCACGGUUUGGCACCUCGAUGUCGGCUCGUCGCAUCCUGGGGCUGGAGCAGGUCCCAAGGGUUUGGCUGUUCGCCAAUUAAAGCGGCACGCGAGCUGGGUUUAAAACGUCGUGAGACAGUUUGGUUCCUAUCUGUCGUGGGCGUAGGACACUUGAGAGGAUCUGCCUUUAGUACGAGAGGACCAGGGUGGACGUACCUCUGGUGCGCCGGUUGUCAUGCCAGUGGCAUAGCCGGGUAGCCAAGUACGGAACGGAUAACCGCUGAAAGCAUAUAAGCGGGAAGCCGGCCUCAAGAUUAGGUGUCCCUGCCGAAAGGCACUCAAGGCCACUUGUAGACUACAAGGUGAUAGGCCGGGUGUGGAAGCACAGCAAUGUGCGGAGCUAACCGGUACUAAUAGGCCCGUGAGGCUUGACCUU
rnacentral:rRNA from 1 species